rnacentral:lncRNA from 1 species
GAUCAAUAUGGUGAAGUUAAGCAGAGUUUUGAGUUCCCAUGUUAUGAUUAUGCAAGGCUCCGUCACGUACCUUAUCUGACAAAUACCUGCUGAAACUCAAAAGAUGCAUGACUUUCCAGGAUUUAGCCAUGGGAUGGCUUUCCUUGAAAGAACUUUCUGGGCCAUAUAAAGAAGAUCAGGGAAAAGAGAAAAGGGAAAGGGAAACACCUCUGGCUAAGCUACUGGAACUUUCCCUCAACCUGGCAUCUAUUUCCUUCUCCUCCCAUCAGAAGCGUUUACAUCAAGGCCCUUCAG